rnacentral:rRNA from 1 species
UACGUAUGGUGCAAGCGUUAUCCGGAUUUACUGGGCGUAAAGGGAGCGCAGGCGGCGCGCCAAGUCUGAUGUGAGACCCCGGGGCUCAACCCCGGGCAUGCAUUGGAAACUGGCGGGCUGGAGUGCCGGAGAGGUAAGCGGAAUUCCUAGUGUAGCGGUGAAAUGCGUAGAUAUUAGGAGGAACACCAGUGGCGAAGGCGGCUUACUGGACGGCAACUGACGCUGAGGCUCGAAAGCGUGGGGAGCAAACAGG